rnacentral:rRNA from 1 species
UACGGAGGGGGCUAGCGUUGUUCGGAAUUACUGGGCGUAAAGCGCACGUAGGCGGCUAUUCAAGUCGGGGGUGAAAGCCCGGGGCUCAACCCCGGAACUGCCCUCGAAACUAGAUAGCUAGAACCUUGGAGAGGCGAGUGGAAUUCCGAGUGUAGAGGUGAAAUUCGUAGAUAUUCGGAAGAACACCAGUGGCGAAGGCGACUCGCUGGACAAGUAUUGACGCUGAGGUGCGAAAGCGUGGGGAGCAAACAGG